UACAGAGGGUGCGAGCGUUAAUCGGAAUUACUGGGCGUAAAGGGCGCGUAGGCGGGAGAUUAAGUCAUAUGUGAAAUCCCCGGGCUUAACCUGGGAAUGGCCUAUGAGACUGGUUUUCUAGAGUAGGGUAGAGGGAAGUGGAAUUUCCGGUGUAGCGGUGAAAUGCGUAGAUAUCGGAAGGAACACCCGUGGCGAAGGCGGCUUCCUGGACCUAUACUGACGCUGAGGCGCGAGAGCGUGGGGAGCAAACAGG
rnacentral:rRNA from 1 species